CGGGAAAUGAGCGCGCGCGGUAGCUCUCUCGCGGCAAAAAGGCAAGCGUGAAAUAAUAAAAAAAUCCUUCGAUGAAUCUCUCCAAGACCUCGUCCUACCAGUAGCAGGCACCUUCGCCUCAGCCGUUGCCGUAUGCGGCAUCGACGAGGAGGAGGACGGGAUGAGCGGCGAGGAUCGGCGAGGACGGGCGGCGGCGAGGACCUGGGAGGAGGGGACAAGCGGUGGUGGGGAUCGGCCACGACGGGACGAGUGGCCGCAGGGAUCGACGAGACUCGUUUAUUGCAGGUCUGUGCAUCCUCUUGCAGUGGUAUAUGCAGACUUUUGCCCCUUUUGUUUUUUUUCCAUAGAUCUUGGCUGUAGAGUACAAGCAGGCCGCAUGUAUUUGGUUCUAGGCUUGCCGCAGGACAGCAGGCUUCGGACGCGGAGGAGCAAGUGAUGAUGUAUAGCUGUGUGCCUGUGUUGGCUAAAUGAUGAGCAAGCUAAUUCUCCAAAAAUUGAUGCAAGCAAGCUUCUUUUGAUGAGCAAACAGAAAGAGGAAGUGAAGUGAACGGUGCUACUUGAUACAAGCUCUGGAGCUAUUUAUAUUAUGAACUUGAAAUGUACUACUAACGGCUGGUUGAGGCAGACAUGCUCAAAUGGUUGCUAGCUGAUUCAAACUUUAAAAAAUAAUAUAUUUCUUCAAGUAGCAGAAUGUUCCUAUGUUUUUCCUUUGGAUGGAUCCAAAUGCACUUUACUUUUGAAUUCCUGAGGUUUGGUUUCCUGUAGGAUUGAAGUGCAUGUGCCUUCCUAAUCCUCCACUUUUCCUAUCCCUAUAAAUUUGUAUUCCUCUGAAACGAAU